GGCCCUGGGACGGCUUCCUCGGCUGACAUAGUCCACUUCCUCCUCAGCUGUGGGUCUCAGCUCCCUGGCCUGUUCCUCCAGGGAACCUCCCCUGACUUCUGUGACCAGGUCAGAUCUCCACACCGUAGCCCCUCAUGGGUGCCUCUCUUGGCAUUCCCCCACUUCGUGAUAAAUGUGUGUGAGCUCAGGCAAUUCCUGGAGCUGAGGAGAGGCUGCCAGUGUGUGGUUUCAGAGCAGACUACAGAUGCAGAUAACAGAGCAAGGACAAAAGGCUCAAAUCCUCCUGGGCCCCCAGGCCAGCCACGAGCCAGGCUGACCUCAGCAAGUACUGGAGGCCAGAAGAGGACUCAGUGUGGUCACCAAGCCCGUCAGUCAAGGGACCCCAGUCCUCGCUCCGGGUUCACUAUUUAGGGUCUUUGACCCAAUUGAGGCAGCAGAGCCUUCAGCAAGGGGCCCCUCCAGCCUGGGAUGCACCUAGGACUCACAGACACAACAUAAAGGAGCCUGGCCCCUGAACCACUGGCUGGAAGAGCGCUGCCCGCCCAGGGCUGCCCCUGCUGGCCUACGUAUGCGCUAAACCUCUGAAAUAUCAGGAGUUUCGACUCUGGGGUAAGUGUUCCCCCAACAGACCUCACAGGGUCUCAUAGUACCUGGCCUCCUCUUCCAGCUCACCUUCGCAGAAUGACAGCUGGAGGGUCAGGGGCCAGAAGGGUCGGGCAUCACCCCACAGCGGCCCUGCUGAACUUGCCCCCAGCAGAGAUG
rnacentral:lncRNA from 1 species